rnacentral:rRNA from 1 species
UACGGAGGGUGCAAGCGUUGUUCGGAAUUAUUGGGCGUAAAGCGCGUGUAGGCGGUUCGUUAAGUCUGAUGUGAAAGCCCUGGGCUUAACCUGGGAAGUGCAUUGGAUACUGUAAGACUUGAAUACGGGAGAGGGCAGUGGAAUUCCUGGUGUAGGAGUGAAAUCCGUAGAUAUCAGGAGGAACACCGGUGGCAAAGGCGGCUGCCUGGACCGAUAUUGACGCUGAGACGCGAAAGCGUGGGUAGCAAACAGGAUUAGAAA